rnacentral:rRNA from 1 species
AUUGAACGCUGGCGGCAUGCUUUACACAUGCAAGUCGAACGGCAGCGCGGGCUUCGGCCUGGCGGCGAGUGGCGAACGGGUGAGUAAUGCAUCGGAACGUGCCCAGUAGUGGGGGAUAGCCCGGCGAAAGCCGGAUUAAUACCGCAUACGACCUGAGGGUGAAAGCGGGGGACCGAAAGGCCUCGCGCUAUUGGAGCGGCCGAUGUCGGAUUAGCUAGUUGGUGGGGUAAAGGCUUACCAAGGCGACGAUCCGUAGCUGGUCUGAGAGGACGACCAGCCACACUGGGACUGAGACACGGCCCAGACUCCUACGGGAGGCAGCAGUGGGGAAUUUUGGACAAUGGGGGCAACCCUUAUCCAGCCCUGCCGCGUGCGGGAAGAAGGCCUUCGGGUUGUAAACCGCUUUUGUUCGGGAAGAAAUCCUCUGGGCUAAUACCCCGGGGGGAUGACGGUACCGGAAGAAUAAGCACCGGCUAACUACGUG